CUGCGGGCCUUGGGACCCGGGAGAGGCGGAGGGUACCCGUGGGGUAGGGGUGAAAUCCUAUAAUCCCAGGGGGACCGCCAGUGGCGAAGGCGCUCCGCUGGAACGGGUCCGACGGUGAGGGACGAAGGCCAGGGGAGCGAACCGGAUUAGAUACCCGGGUAGUCCUGGCUGUAAAGGAUGCGGGCUAGGUGUCGGGCGAGCUUCGAGCUCGCCCGGUGCCGAAGGGAAGCCGUUAAGCCCGCCGCCUGGGGAGUACGGCCGCAAGGCUGAAACUUAAAGGAAUUGGCGGGGGAGCACUACAAGGGGUGGAGCGUGCGGUUUAAUUGGAUUCAACGCCGGGAACCUCACCGGGGGCGACGGCAGGAUGAAGGCCAGGCUGAAGGUCUCGCCGGACGCGCCGAGAGGAGGUGCAUGGCCGCCGUCAGCUCGUACCGUGAGGCGUCCUGUUAAGUCAGGUAACGAGCGAGACCCGUGCCCCAUGUUGCCAGUCCUCCCCGCUGGGGAGGAGGCACUCUGGGGGGACCGCCGGCGAUAAGCCGGAGGAAGGAGCGGGCGACGGUAGGUCAGUAUGCCCCGAAACCCCCGGGCUACACGCGCGCUACAAUGGGCGGGACAAUGGGAUCCGACCCCGAAAGGGGAAGGGAAUCCCCUAAACCCGCCCUCAGUUCGGAUCGCGGGCUGCAACUCGCCCGCGUGAAGCUGGAAUCCCUAGUACCCGCGUGUCAUCAU
rnacentral:rRNA from 1 species